GCAUCUUCAAGAUGCAUCCCUUGGAGAUGCAUCCCUACGCCUAUUAUAAAUAGGUUAGCGCUCCAUGGGUUUCAUCAUUCCAACUCCAUCCCACUCCUCUCCUCUUUCUUUCUUACAUUAGUUUCUUUCUUUCUAGCAUUGCUUCUAGUGUGUCCUAAGCCAAAACAAGGUGGUCUUCUUUAGGACAAAAGGAUUAGAAGUGAUUUUAGAAGGUUAAAGAAAAACAAAAAGGAAGAAAAGCAAGCCAUUAGAGUUCUUUAGAAGAAUUCUGCAUUAAGGAUCAAAGUCUUUGGAGCUUAAGACUUGAAUCAAAUUUUCAUGUGGAUCAACGUUGGAGGGUGAACACUUGGGCACCAAGUAGAAAUUCUGCACAUUGAUUAGCGUUAGAGGUAUUCUUCUAUUUCUGCAUUUAUAUUAUGUUAUUUGAUUGCUUCCAUUAAGGUGAUCUUGGCUUAUAAGGGUUUCAUGUUAAGAAACUUUAUCAAGAAAUUUUUAAAAUCCCUAGCUUCCGCUGCUCAUUAUAGCGUGCUAGAACCCUACAUCUUAUGCCUCUUCCCUCUCUCUAAUGUGCUCGAGUCCCCUUAUGAUCUCUCUCUCUCCCCUUGUUUUAUACGGUGCAUGCUUUCUAUUUACCUUUCUCCUUCCACCACACCCAACACUCUCUUCCUUAUCCAUUUUCUUCUGUUGUCGCCUCUUGCAUCUCCUCUCUCGUGUCCACCAAUACCUCUUGUAUCUCCUUAUCUGCUCCUCCAUUAUCUCUCU
rnacentral:lncRNA from 1 species